AAGAAAUUUAUUCCAAGAUAAUAGGGUUACAAUCGAGAGGCAUAAGCUCUUGAGUGCACAGUGGUCCUCUAUAUAGCCAUACAACAGUGCUAUGUUCAGUACAACUAUACAACGCUAGACGAUCUACAGCCCUAUUUUGAACACAUUUAAGCUUCAUAGGAGUAAAAUAUCUCCUUUCUAUCAACAACUUAAUCUCAGCAGCCAAGUGGCCGUUUUAAAACGAAUGAGACAGACCCUUCACACACACACACACACACAGAGACGUCAAAGUCUCUGAAGAAUCUGACUAGACAAUAACUCGUCGUCGGUGUGCUGCAACGCCAAAGCCAUACCUUGCAUCAGCGCAUGAAUUUCUACUUCAAAGAUGCCAUUGCAGUUGAACAGAAUCAGUAAGCUGCAAAUAUCUCACUUCCAUCUAAUCUGCGAAGAGUCAUGCCCGCUGCCGCUGUAACGUCCUCAACCGAGAAGGAGCCAUCCACUGAGAGGGUUGAAUGGUCUACCGGCAGGGGCCGCCAUGCACCAAUAGCUUUUGUCCUUCUUACCAUCAUAGUACGAUCGUCCACCCGAGGAAACUUUCCUUUGAUAAUAUCUUCAGUAGAAUAACUUAUUACCUUGUCUCCCGUCACUGCUAUGAAUUUAUUUAUAAAGUUGACAUAUGAAUUUUCUUAAAAAUAGGUCAGGGAGCUUGGGACAUGAUUACUGUGUUAAAUCUAGCAUUUUUUCUAGCAAACCAAUAUAUGGUUGGAUGGUUAGAAGGAUAGUGGUAACCACAAUCCAUCAAGGUUCAAGUCGACGUUCCCGUCGACUAUAAAGACAUCUGUGACGAUUUUAUCAAUCUCAAUAUGAUGUGCAGGCUGAGUCUCUCAAAGUGCUCAUAAGGAUAGGGUAUACAUAUGUGCAUUAGAUGAAUGCGCACAUGUAUAGCCGUUUAUGUCUAUACUGUGUUAUUAAAAAACAUGUUACAACUCAUCAUUUGUUUUCUGUUGCCGCUAUGAAUUUAUUUAUAAAGUUGGCAUAUGAUUUUCUUAAAAAUAGGUCAUAAAGCUUGUGACAUGAUUAUUGUGCCAAAUUUAGCAAUUUUUCAGCAAACCAAUCUUGGCUUGCAUGAUUAGAAGGACAUUGGUAACCACAAUCUAUCAUGAUUCAAGUCCUAAACUUGACACAGGUGUUUGUAUUUUCCAGCAUUUAUUUCAGAUUUUCUAUUGGUGUGCAUUCUAUGGGAGAAGAUGUUCUCAUCGACUACGGAGAUGUUUAUGGCGACUUCGUCAAUCUUAAAAUAAUGUGUUGAUUCAGUCUCUCAAAAUCAUAGAAGUAGGGUAUGCUUGCUUGUGUAUAUAGGGGUGAGGGUGCGUAUGUAUGAACGUCUGUGUUAUUUAAAAAACAUUUCUUAUGCAACAAAACGAUGUGUUAGAUGGAGCCUUACAGAUGGGCCUCUCUAGUGGAUAACGAGAUUACCUCGAUACAGCCAGCGGCACAUCUCGCCGCCGACGAAGUCCCCAGUUCAGCAAACGCCGAGGCGCAACGCCAAAAGCUCCAUCUCGCCGCCACCUCCCACCCUCCUUGUGCGCUAUCGAGCUGCUACACUUCGGCACUUCCUCUGGUCUGUUGCUUCUCUCUUUCCUGUCGUCGCGGGAAUGGGAUUGGGAUCCGUCUGAGCCGCGCAGUCCGAUUCCAGAUAAUGGUGUCCAGCCUGAAUGGGAUGUCUGUUAGAUAUUCGCUUGCUGACAAUACCAUGGAGUCCCCUACGAGGAUGGCCUCUUUGUUUCAGGUUGGAUGAAGACGAAGAACAAGGUGGCCUCUUUGUUUGACUGAUAUAUUUGGCCUCUUUUGCCAAUACAAGAAGGUGAAGCAAGUCUGUAGAUCAUUGCAACUACUAUCAGAAAUGGGCGAGCGCUUGCGGCAGGGCAAGGGCACCUCGAGGACAUACUGAAAAGCCCUGGCACUACUUCAAGUUGUGCAAAUCACUUCAGCCAUGUGAUGUAUUUAUCUGCUGGUUGUAAAUUUGUAAUAGAAUGCAGAGUAGUGUUCCUUUCAAAAAAGAAAGAGAGGGAGAGAUACAGCCCUCUAUUGCCCCCUUUCUUGUAACAUGAACAAUUUUCUCAUAAAUGACAGAUCGAUCAGACUGCUCCACAUCACACUGGAGUAAUUUCAUUUUUUUCAGUGUACAGAAAAAUUGACAGACAGAUAUGAAAGAAAAUAAAGAGCAUUAU